rnacentral:lncRNA from 1 species
CCGUUAACUACUGGCUUUAUAUUUAUAUCCGGUUCAGAUGUUCACUGAUUUUGGUUUAGUAUCUGGCUUGUCCUACCUCAGAAUAUAGGUUAUUUGACAAAUGUUUAUUGGAAUCUCUGAUCAGACCGUAUAUCUCAAUAUCUUAAUAGAUACCUUAAUAUUCUCAAUACUGAAGAAUUUUUGCUUACAGAAACCGAGGGCUCAGAAGAAGAGGAUAAAGAAAAUGACAAGGCUGAAGAAAUACCAAGUGAUUCGGUUCUUGAAAACAAGUCUCUUCAAGAAAAUGAAGAGGAGGAGAUUGGAAACCUAGAGCUUGCCUGGGAUAUGCUGGAUUUAGCAAAGAUCAUUUUUAAAAGACAAGACACCAAAGAAGCUCAGCUUUAUGCUGCACAGGCACAUCUUAAACUUGGAGAAGUUAGUGUUGAAUCUGGUAAUACAUUUUCCGUUUUACUCUCCCCUCUAACACACUCAUAUGCCCCUGCCUUACUCUUCCUCUGCUUUCUUAAAACCCAGCUCAGUUGUUCAUAAACUGUGGGCAGUUGGCUUUAAAUGGACAGUAGGGGGUUUUCUUGGUUCCCUAUGGUUCCUAAAGCAAUGGAGUCCUUUUUUUUUUU